CCUGCAUUGCAGGCGGAUUCUUUACCAACUGAGCUAUCAGGGAAGCCCCUCACACACACAGUAUUACACUUUUUAUAGCACUUUUACAAAUGCCCAUGCUUUUUCGGAAAUGGUAUGGUUGGGAUGAGAGAUUUGAGUUUGAAUGCUUUCUCAAACUCUUGUCUGUAUAAUCUUUGGUAAGUUACUUAACCUCUCAGAACCUGUUUUCUCCUCUGAAAAAUGGUGACGGUGCUUGGGUCAAGGUGAUACCCAUCUUAUAAGGACUGAAGAGACAAAUACCUAGUAUGAUGUUUGAGACAUAAGCGGCACUCCAUUUCUUUCCUUCUCUAAAGAUUGUAAUUUGUGUCAGGGGAUCUCAUAUUUCUACAAUAGUAAUGAUUAUAAAGGUAACAUUCUCUUCAUAUAUCUCAUGUUACACAGUGAUUCUUAAUUCUAACAAUGAGGGUGGAAGUGGUGAUUUAUGUAUGAGGUGGUGAUUUAUGUAUUAUUAAAAAGCACCCCCACAACCUCAGUGAGAAUCUUUGGUCUACUUUGAUAUACCCCAAGGAUCUCUUACUACUUUGAUAUUUUUUGUUUGGUAUUUUUACUCAUAGCAUUAUUUCAAUAAAGUGAGGAUUUGCCUUCAUGGGAAGAUAAUACCUUAAGCAAAUGAAAGUGGUGGUUGAGAAAUUACCUUCUCAUGUAUAGCUAGAUGCCAGGGAGCAUUUUUUUCUUGGCGUGGGGGUGCAUGGGGGGUUUUGAUGAAAAAAGUGGUGAAAAGACAGAGUCCUCAGAGCCUAGAGGAGAGGGGAUUGGGCUGUAUGGGAGAAAAUGGAUUAAAGGGAUGAUGAGUGGAACUGAAGACAAUCACUAUUUUUCUCAUGGAUCCACAUUUAGCAGGCUGUGACUUGGCUUCUUCUGGGGCCACCUGCUGGCUGUUAAUAGAAACUGCUGUGUUUAUGCUGUAAACUUGUCACGUUUCCAGUCUCAUCUACCCUUGUUAUGAGACCUGGCCCCACCACUUGAGUCAUAUAGGGCUAUCUGAGCCAACUCAUCAAAGUCAUAUUAAGUACCAUAAGGUCCUGGAAUUUUGUCUGUGAAAACCUAGUAGUUCUUCUUAUGAUACAUAAAUAGUUACAAAUAAAUUUUGGCAGCUGCAGAUAUGGAAGGCAAAGAGACGGGAAAUGGUUACAGUUUGCUGUGACUCACUCACAGGAUAGAUGAACUGAGUGUUACUUUUGUUUAAAGAGUGUGAUACAGGACCAAGAUAUCCAUAAAGUUCUUAUUUGAAGUAUUUUUUAUAGUUUUGGGUUCAGUUCAGUUCAGUCGCUCAGUCAUGUUCAACUCUUUGCAGCCCCUGGACUGCAGCACCCUGUCCCUGUCCAUCACCAGCUCCCGGAGCUUACUCAAACUCAUGUCCAUUGA
ensembl:lncRNA